GACGAACGCUGGCGGCGUGCUUAACACAUGCAAGUCGAACGGAAAGGCCCUGCUUUUGUGGGGUGCUCGAGUGGCGAACGGGUGAGUAACACGUGAGUAACCUGCCCUUGACUUUGGGAUAACUUCAGGAAACUGGGGCUAAUACCGGAUAGGAGCUCCUGCUGCAUGGUGGGGGUUGGAAAGUUUCGGCGGUUGGGGAUGGACUCGCGGCUUAUCAGCUUGUUGGUGGGGUAGUGGCUUACCAAGGCUUUGACGGGUAGCCGGCCUGAGAGGGUGACCGGCGACAUUGGGACUGAGAUACGGCGCAGACUCCUACGGGAGGCAGCAGUGGGGAAUAUUGCACAAUGGGCGGAAGCCUGAUGCAGCAACGCCGCGUGCGGGAUGACGGCCUUCGGGUUGUGAACCGCUUUCGCCUGUGACGAAGCGUGAGUGACGGUAAUGGGUAAAGAAGCACCGGCUAACUACGUG
rnacentral:rRNA from 1 species